AUUGAACGCUGGCGGCAUGCCUAACACAUGCAAGUCGAGCGCGCGGCGGACGGGUGAGUAAUGUAUGUGGCCCUGCUAGAUAGAGGGGGAUAACUACUGGAACCGGUGGCUAAUCCCGCAUACUUGCGGCUGAACCCUUAUGGGAUUAGCUAGUAGGUGGGUGAUAGGCUCACCUAGGCGACGAUCUCUAGCUGGUCGGAGAGGAUGAUCGGCCACACUGGAACUGAGACACGGCCCAGAUUCCUACGGGAGGCAGCAGUGGGGAAUAUUCCGCAAUGGGCGCAAGCCUGAUGCAGCCAUGCCGCGUGUAUGAAGAAGGCCUUAGGGUUGUAAAGUACUUUCAGCGGGGAGGCGUUACCCGCACAGAAAGCACCGGCUAACUCCGUGCCAGCAGCCGCGGUAAUAC
rnacentral:rRNA from 1 species